GCCAGUGUGACACAGUGGUUUGAGUGUUGGACAAUGACUUUGGAGACCAGGGUUCGAUUCCCAGCUCAAUCA
rnacentral:tRNA from 1 species